GAGUUUGAUCAUGGCUCAGAUUGAACGCUGGCGGUAUGCUUUACACAUGCAAGUCGAACGGCAGCAUAGGUGCUUGCACCUGAUGGCGAGUGGCGAACGGGUGAGUAAUGCAUCGGAACGUGCCCAGUCGUGGGGGAUAACGCAGCGAAAGCUGUGCUAAUACCGCAUACGAUCUAUGGAUGAAAGCGGGGGACCUUCGGGCCUCGCGCGAUUGGAGCGGCCGAUGUUAGAUUAGGUAGUUGGUGAGGUAAAGGCUCACCAAGCCUACGAUCUAUAGCUGGUCUGAGAGGACGACCAGCCACACUGGAACUGAGACACGGUCCAGACUCCUACGGGAGGCAGCAGUGGGGAAUUUUGGACAAUGGGCGAAAGCCUGAUCCAGCAAUACCGCGUGCAGGAAGAAGGCCUUCGGGUUGUAAACUGCUUUUGUACGGAACGAAACGGU
rnacentral:rRNA from 1 species